ensembl:lncRNA
GUGGAUACAGCAAUUUUAUCUCCACGGGCAGAGUUGCAAUAAGCCUGUUUACAUACUGACACCAACAACAUAGCAUUAGGUAUCUCUAUAACCAUCUGUGCUCGCAUGCUAAGUUGCUACAGUCGUGUCCGGCUCUUUGCGACCCCAUGGACUGUAGCCUGCCAGGAUCCUCUGUCCAUAGGAUUCUCCAGGCAAGAAUACUGGAGUGGGUUGCCAUUUCCUCCUCCACAGGAUCUUCCCAACCCAAGGAUUGAACUUGUGUGUCCUGAGGCUCCUGCAUUGCAGGGAAGAACCCAUUAUAAAGGUUGUGUUAAUUCUGGGAUCAGAUCACUAUAUCCUGAUCAGGCAUCUGGAAAAUGGGGUCACUGGUGGAGACCAGAGUGAACAUGUGGUCAGAGAUUGAAUAUGAACCUCUGAAGCAGAAGAAGCCAGAGGAGAAGAGCAAGGUAGACCCGAUGUGUCAAGCAUUUGCUGUGUACUGGGAGCUUUGGCUUGUAAUUUCUCAUGUGAUUUUCAUGGUUUACUGUGGUAUGUUUCAUUAUUCUCCAUUUACAGCUGAGAAUAUGGAGCCUCAUAGAGGUUAAGUAACUUCCCCAAGAGUACACAGUAAGCGCUGUGACAAUGCAGUGGCAUCAUUCCCACUAGAGCAAAGCAUUCGAGUAAUGAGGAGAAGCAAGAACCAUGGAGGAGCAGAGAGGUUUCCCAAACCCGCUUCCUGAGCCC